GAAAAAUUCUGUGCUAGAAUAAUUGUUUUAGCUGUCUUUUACUCCAAUCUUGCAAUUCAAGGAAACUAAUUUUGUCCUUAUGUUGCAGCAGAGCCAUAGUAAAGGAAGGGUGUAAACACACCCAAAUGUUGUGAAUUGCUGCUUCUGUUACCAUUUCCUCUGAAGAGGAGGGGCUGAAUUUCAGAGCUGUGGAAUGAGCAGGAGACAGCAGAGCUCAGAGAUGCUGGAAGGAGAAAGCACAAGAAGAGCAUGGGCAUCAGGGGUGCUGAGGGACCAAUACUUUUAGCAGAGAAAUAUAGGAUACUUGAAUUUGGAAGGAACCUCUGGAUGUCAUCUGGUCCACAUUCCCUGCUCAAGCAGAGCCACUUCAGAUGACCAUGUCAGAGACCUUUUGAGUAUCUGCAAGGCUGGGGACUCCACAAGCUCCCUGGGCAACCUCUUCAGUGCUCAGUCACCCUCACAGUAAAAAAGUGUCUCCUGAUGCUCAGAGGGAGCCUCCUGUGUAUUAAUUUAUCCUGUCAUUGGACACCACUGGAAAGAACCUGGUUCUGUCUUCUUUUCACCCUCCCUUCAGGUCAGAGAAGCUGAGCUGAUUGCAUGCCAGAGGAUGAAGAGCGCUCCAUCUGCUUGUGGCUUUAAGCAGCCCACACAAAAAAAUUGCAAAGUGGGUUUUACCUGGACCCAAAGUGAUAUUCUCAGCUACCUGCAAGAUCCAGGCAAUACAGCUUCAGGCAUGUGGUGCAAGAGGAAGAGGAGUGGUUCAGCUCUAGUGCCCAAAGCAGAACAAAACUGCUGUGAAAAUGUGAAGCACAUUUCAGUGAUCUGAUUCUUUAUCUGUACCUCCUUGAUUACAAUCAAGGAAUCAUGAUGACCAGCUAACUUUCAUUAGUGUUUCUGAACUGGUGAUUCUUCAGUGAAGAUAUAUAGGUCUGUCUUUUUCUGCUGUCUGUAUAUGAGUCUGUAUUUGACCUAGAGGUCCCCAUGCCUAUUUCCUCAGUUCCCAGUUCCUGUAGAUUACUUCCACUAGAAUCCUAGAGGAAAAACAUUCUGUGGUUUCUGCUAGUAGCUGUAUGAAUGAAUGUGUGCUACUGUUGAGUGAUUAUGAAUUUGACGCAAAGGCAAGUGUCAUGUGGCUUUUUAGGAAUGCAGCAUAAAAUGCAAGUAUGUAAAGAACUACAGUAGACAGUGCAAUUUACUGAGAGGAGAUGCCAAAACAUGUUAUGAAAUACUCCUUGUGUACUUUAAUAUUUCUUCUGUGUUCUCCCACACAGUGUUCAGAACAAAUUAAAUGACAUGAAGAAUAUUACAGAUUUUUUAAAACAGAUGGAGGACAUCACUUUUAUGGAUUUGAACAAUUCAUUAAAAGUUAGUUUCUGUUAAGAUUCA